GUAUUUGUUUGCACCCAUGUCAACCUGCAGACACGCAUGUGUGUAUAUGUGGCAUUUGCGUGAGCUCAGAUGAUGUUGUUACUCGGCUGACGCGCUUCUUGAUUGCUCGCCAAACACGCUCGCCAGUUAGCAAGACACACCACCCAACCCUAGCCGCAUUCUCCACCCACGGCAGCCUUGCAGCCACCAACAGCAGCCUCACAGCCACCGCCAUAAUGUUGUUUGCGCACUGCUCCAGCAUCGCCCGUUCUCCAAUUCUCAUUGAAUGCCCGUGCAACACCAAAAACAACACCCAUCUCAAUAGUGAUCCUUCCGCAGGUUCACCUACGGAAA
rnacentral:misc_RNA from 1 species